GGCCUCAUAGCUCAGCUGGUAGAGCUCUCGUCUUACUAAAGUGAGGGUCGCAACUAUGCGUGGGUUUAAGUCCCGCCUGGGGCCA
rnacentral:tRNA from 1 species